AAGAACUUAGCUUAAUUAAAGUUAUUGAUUUCCGUUCAGUUGAUGCAGAAUAAAGUUUUGCAGUCCUUA
rfam:Callithrix jacchus chromosome 15, whole genome shotgun sequence